GCAUGACUAAAUGCCGAAGGCACAUGGAAUGUCGUUAUCUUCCCACCAAAGAGUCACACUGAGCCACUGUGUCCCUGAUAUAUGAUUGUUACAAGUGCCCAUAACAUUUUUGUCAAAGCGCAUUUUAGGUGUUUUCUGCUCCCCUCCUCUUCACCCUCCUGCCCAAUUUUUGCUGCUGUUGACUUCUUUCUCCCUUCUGUUCAAUCUGUUCAAUUUUCAGAAAGUACCAGGGAGUUUUCUUGGCAAGGUUUUUCAGAAGUGGUUUGCCAUUGCCUCUUUUCUAGGGUGGAGAAAAUGACUGGCUGAGCUGAUUUUGUGCCUAAGGCAGGACUAGAAUUCACAGUUUCUCAGUUUCUAACCUGAUGCCUUAACAACUAUAUUAAAAAAUAGGUUUUUUCAGUUUUGAACAUUAUCAGUACCAGAUACUUCAAAUAAUCCUGUUAAAUGCAUUUUAUCUUUAUAUGUAACAAAAAUUCUAUGUGAUGAAGGAUUUAACAGAAGCAGUGAUAAGACCAUUUUUUGUCUCUUGCAUGGCAUAAUACAUUUCCCAUAUUGCAUUGCAUUUGGGGAAUUUAAAAUGUGGCUAUUAUAGUCUGCGAGCAGAUUGCAUAAAGCAUGUUUUCUUAAUACAAUAUAUUUUGCUAUUUAUAAAGAAGGUAAAUAAUACUUGGGCCCCAUCAUCCAGUAUUUAAUCUAAAUUGUGUAACAGGGAUAACUAUGGAGAAACUAUUUUACUUAUAUAACAUGCAAUAUUUCUGUUCUUUUCAUUCUUGACCAAAACAGCAUGCAAUAGCUCACAAUACAAAUACAAAACAAUAAUAAAACAGAAGCAUUACACAUAUAAUGUAAAACCUCAUUAUAACUUCCAAAAGUAAUAAUUGUAUACAGUAAUUUUAACAAAGCACAAAUUCAGUGCUAAAAUAGAAUAAAACAGAAUCUUAAAAUAACACCUUUCAGUAUUCGGUGUGCAAUACAGAAGAGUUUGGGUAUAACAAUAUGUUUGUUGCAUGGGUGGGUUGCUGCUGGCGUUACUUCCAGUUCGCAACCCGCACACCAGAAGUGCGCUGCACGUGCAUGUGCAGAACAAUUUACAGUGAACUGCGCACGCCACUGUGAAUGUAUCUUGUACAAAUAGAGUCUAUUAUAAAAUAUGUAUAAAAAGUGUGAAGUCAUAAUCUGAAUAGUUUUGCAAUCACCAUCCAUUGUUGCUGACUCUGCUUGGAAAAUUCUACUUCAUUCAUGUGCUUUUUAAUUUUUCUAAUAAUGUCAAGUGUUGAGGAAAAUUAAGAAAUUCAGACAGUUCAAGUGAGUAUAAAGAUUUAUUGCAAGUUUAAGCUCUCUACAAGAAUCUGAACUACUAACAUUUGCGAGAAUUAAGUAUAGAAAGAAUUCAAGGUGGACUGGACUUAGAUCUCUUGUGGGUGCGCAGGGACUCAUGACUGAUGACGAGUUUGACCCCUCCCUUGGGCUUAGCCUGGUCAUCUCCUACAAAUAACCUAAACAUUAUUUCCACCCUCCUGCAACCUAUAAAUGUGAUAUGAUGUGCAGUCAUAUUAGAAAAUUCCAAUUAUGUUUGUCUUACUGUAUUUUACAGAAUGAAUGGUAGCAGAAAAUAUAUUUGCAAAGUGAACCAAGUAUUUGUCUUAUUUAUUAUCUAAUAAAUUGAAUUACAGUACUUUUUUGCAGUAGUUCUGUAUUUUUUAGAAACAGUUUGUUUAUUUACUAUUUUUUAUUCAGAUAGUUUUUAUUUUUUUUCAUUUGUUUAAUUUAAAAUAUUUAGGAAUUGAUCGUCUUACAUGAAGAACUUCAAAGGCUAGGUGAAGUGUGUCCUGAUCUGAAAUUUUAAUGCUUCAAAGUCCUAAUCAGUUUGAUCCUGCAUCCUCAUCAAUUUAAUUCAGACACUUGGCAGCAGAUUCAUAUUUAUGAUGGUUGCAGUGUCCUGGAGUCAUGUAAUCACUAAGCCAUGGUGGCAUAAUAAUGCAGUACUGAAGGCUGUUUCUGUUGAUUGCCAACUGCUAACAGUUCGGCAGUUCGAUCCUCACCAGCUCAAGGUUGACUCCAUCCUUCCGAGCUUAUCAUAGCCUAUCCAAAACUGAAAUGGAAUAUAAUAGAACCGAAGUAACUUUUUGGAUGAGAGGUGAAACAUUUUCCAAGGAAAAGGAAAAAUAGUCCAAUUGCUUUUUGGAAAAAAAGCACCUUUGGGACAACCUUGACCUGGAUGAUUGAGAAUCUUCAUAGACAUUCAACUCUUCAAAAAUUAUCUGAAUAAAUGAUCAGUCUCUUCUGAACUUGGUUGAAAGUUUGCAUGUACCAGAGAUUUUAGUACUGGAUCUCAAAUAUUGUCCUAUGGAUUUGGAGGGGAUUAUUCUAAAGUGAAAAGUUUGAAAGUCUUCUAAACCGACAGCUAUAGGUACUGAUUUCAGUACAUUUCAUCAAAAUAAUAAAUUGUAAAUUUUUGUUCCAUUAAUAAAGGAGCUACAAUCUUUACUGGAAACUAUUGUUUUGGCUGACUCUGCAGGCCACUGUAAAUGAUUGCCAGAUUGUAAUUACUUGAGUUAAUAUUCUUGUUGCCUCACUGCUAUUCUCUUGUGACUAUGUACCCUUUAAUAGUCCUAUAAAUACUAUAAACUAGAUUUCUCCAGCUUGUUGCCUUUUGGUCAUGAUGAAUUUAAAGUGGACGUUUCUCUCCAAUGGAAAAUUCAACACAUCUGGAAGUACCAAGUUAAAUUAAGGGAAGUAUCCUCUAUUCUUUUACACGUGUCUGUUUUAGAAAUAGUGUGAACACUGAAACUGGCAGAGUUCUUAACGUGAGGCACAUAAGAAAUUAGAAAUUGCUCUCUUAUAAAGAUAGUAAAUGCAGUUAAUUGAAGCUAGGGUAUAUUGGGGUCUAACGGAGUGAAAAUGAAUCCCAAACAGGUGAAUUUUUUUCCAGAACACUUUAGUUUCUAUACCAAACUUCUUUUUGUAUAGCAGUAUCUAUCUAUAAAGAGAUAGAUGUAAAUAUAUACACAUAUUAUACAUAAUAAAAGAUAUACAAUAUUUAUAUUGAAUAAUAAUAAUUACAUAUAAACAUUUUAAAAUAAGCUUCCCAGAAGCUUUUAAAUAUCAAAACUAUACAGGACAUAAGUUUACUUUUAAAGUCAGAAAGAAGUAGCAGUGGAAAUGGUUCUUCAGUGAAGGCAAUUAUAAAUGUGGGCCACUUUGUUA